CUGAAUUAAAAGGAACUCUUUUUUCAGGUACGCAUGAUGCAACUUCCUGGAUGGUGUGUAGGCUAUUUGUCAAUAUGUGAAUCCCACAUGCAUUUCAGGGGGAUGUGGCAAAGACUGAUAGAAUCAACUUGCUGAGAAAACGACAAAUUAAUGUUAAUUUGCAUACCUGCCUGGGUCAACUGUCCAUCAUCAUCAUGACUUUUAGUGAAAGCGGUCUGUUGACAUGUCAAUAUUUACAGAACCAAAAAUUUGGGGCCAUUCCUAAGCGGAAGAAUUAUGUUUGACCUUGAAACUAGCAGACUUGAUGAGUUGCUAAAUUAACACCUUUAUUUUGACAAAAAAGCAUCAGCCAAUGGGAGGCCUGCCUGGUAUAACUCAAACAGGAGCUGUGGAGAUACGAGUCCAGAGAUAUGUUCCCUAUCAUUCCAUGUUCUUCUCAACAUUUCCAUACAGACUGGUGCAGAUUGGGAGAUAUUUUCUCUGUCUUCCUCCAAACAUUUCCAACUAGACUCAAUGAUAUUUUCGCUUUAAUUCUGUGUUCUUCCAAGAAUUUCCAUAGAGACUGGAGCUGAGCAAAUCACCAGAAAAAUCUGUGAUUGUACUUCAUGGAUAACUGACAAUUUAAAUGUACAAGUUAUAACUAUAGACUUGACAUUUUCUGUGAUAUACCUGUUAUAGGUGUAUAGUAAUUUCAUGUUGUAUUGUAUAAUUUAUAAUUUCUUUGAUAUUCAUGAAUUAGGGGUUACUGGGGCUAUAGAAAUUUCAUGUUGUUUUGUAUAUUUUAUAAUUUCUAUGAUAUUCAUGUAUUAGGGGUUACUUACACUGGGGCUAUAGAAAUUUCAUGUUGUUUUGUAUAUUUUAUAAUUUCUAUGAUAUUCAUGUAUUAGAGGUUACUGGGGUCAUAGAAAUUUCAUGUAGUUUUGUAUAUUUUAUAAUUUCUAUGAUAUUCAUGUAUUAGGGGUUACUGAGGUUAUAGAAAUUUCAUGUAGUUGUUUGUGUACUUUAUACUUUCUUUGUUAUAUCAUGGGUUAUUGUUUUAUGGGAAUGUUAAUGGCAUUGUAAAAUAUUCUUUAAUUUCUGUGAUAUGUUUGGAAUUAAAUUUGGGGGGUAUUUUGAGAAUUUUAUGAAGGUAAUUUAUGUAUUCUUUAUACGAGUACAUGAAAUUCUAAUACACACAGUAACCCUAGAUAUCUGAUAGAAAUUAUAAAGUAUACAAUACUAAAUGUAAUUCCCUAUCCCCAUUAAUCCCAUAUAAAUGAUAGAAACUAUAAAGAAUACAAAACAACAUGAAAUUUUAGUACACCUAAUAACCCAAGAUAUAUAAUAGAAAUCAUAAUUUUUAAAAAUUACACUAAAUUAAAUUUAAAUGGGAUUUUGGCUGUAGCAUCUAAUACAUCAAAUACGUGGCAUUUCAGUUAUAUGUCUGGGUUAUAAAAAAUCUUUGAUAUGUAGUAUUACACACAUAACAUUUCUGUAAUUUAUAUGGGGUUAAAGAUUUAUUGUAGUAUUGUACACAUUUGUCAAAAUUGAUCUAGGGCUAUACAAUGUAAUUAUAAGGGUAUGGUAAUUAAUUGGCGGUAUUACUCACUUAACAUUUCUCGCAUUAUGGGGGCUAGUAAUAGUUUUGAACUGCGGAUUGAUUUCGUGUUGCAGGAAUUUUUUGUAGUAUUGCAUGUCAUAUUGUCUUAUAUGAAUGUGUGUAUGGGGUUAUGGGAUAAAUUUAUACCAUUUACAAUUUAGUUUUGUAAUUUGUCUAAUUUGUGUGUUU